GUCUAUGGCCAUGCCACCCUGAACAAGCCCGAUCCCGUCUGAUCUCCGAAGCUAGGCAGUGUCGGGCCUGGUUAGUACUUGGAUGGGAGACCACCUAGGAAGACCAGGUGCUGUAGGCA
rfam:Pteropus alecto contig8583, whole genome shotgun sequence.